ensembl:Mt_rRNA
AAAAGACUCAGUCCUAACCUUACUAUUGGUUUUUGCUAGACAUAUACAUGCAAGUAUCCGCAUCCCAGUGAGAAUGCCCCACAAACCUUUAUCUUCCAAAGCAAAAGGAGCAGGUAUCAGGCGCACUUUAAUAGUUAGCCCAAAACGCCUUGUUCAAGCCACACCCCCACGGGUAUUCAGCAGUAAUUAACAUUAAGCAAUAAGUGUAAACUUGACUUAGCCAUAGCAAGACCACAGGGUUGGUAAAUCUUGUGCCAGCCACCGCGGUCACACAAGAAGCCCAAAUCAAUAGCCAUCCGGCGUAAAGAGUGGCCACAUGUUAUCUUCAUUAACUAAGAUCAAAAUGGAACCAAGCUGUCAUAAGCCCAGGAUCCACCUAAGCCCAACAUAAAAACCAUCUUAGCCACAUGAUCAAUUUCAAUCCACGAAAGCCAGGGCACAAACUGGGAUUAGAUACCCCACUAUGCCUAGCCCUAAAUCUAGAUACCCACAUACUUAUGUAUCCGCCUGAGAACUACGAGCACAAACGCUUAAAACUCUAAGGACUUGGCGGUGCCCCAAACCCACCUAGAGGAGCCUGUUCUAUAACCGAUAAUCCACGAUCUACCCAACCACCCCUUGCCAACACAGCCUACAUACCGCCGUCGCCAGCCCACCUUAAUGAAAGAACAACAGUGAGCUCAAUAGCCGCCACUAAUAAGACAGGUCAAGGUAUAGCCUAUGGGAUGGAAGAAAUGGGCUACAUUUUCUAAAAUAGAACAAACGAAAAAGGACAUGAAACCUGGUCCUUGGAAGGAGGAUUUAGCAGUAAAAUGGGAUCACUUUGCCCACUUUAAGAUGGCCCUGAGGCACGUACAUACCGCCCGUCACCCUCUUCAAAAGCUACUAAUACCGAUAAAUAACACCCAACCAUUAAGCCAAAGACGAGGUAAGUCGUAACAAGGUAAGUGUACCGGAAGGUGCACUUAGACCAC